rnacentral:misc_RNA from 1 species
UGUGGGAGCGAGCUUGCUCGCGAUAGCGGUGUGUCAGUCGACAUUGAGGUUGGCUGAUCCAAAGCUAUCGCGAGCAAGCUCGCUCCCACA